rnacentral:rRNA from 1 species
CAGCAGCCGCGGUAAUACAGAGGGUGCGAGCGUUAAUCGGAUUUACUGGGCGUAAAGCGUGCGUAGGCGGCUAAUUGAGUCGGAUGUGAAAUCCCCGAGCUUAACUUGGGAAUUGCAUUCGAUACUGGUUAGCUAGAGUGUGGGAGAGGAUGGUAGAAUUCCAGGUGUAGCGGUGAAAUGCGUAGAGAUCUGGAGGAAUACCGAUGGCGAAGGCGGCCCCCUGGACGAAGACUGACGCUCAGGUGCGAAAGCGUGGGGAGCAAACAGGAUUAGAUACCCGAGUAGUCCCUGUCUCUUAUAC